GCGGCGGACGGGUGAGUAAUGCCUAGGAAUCUGCCUGAUAGUGGGGGACAACGUUUCGAAAGGAACGCUAAUACCGCAUACGUCCUACGGGAGAAAGCAGGGGACCUUCGGGCCUUGCGCUAUCAGAUGAGCCUAGGUCGGAUUAGCUAGUUGGUGAGGUAACGGCUCACCAAGGCGACGAUCCGUAACUGGUCUGAGAGGAUGAUCAGUCACACUGGAACUGAGACACGGUCCAGACUCCUACGGGAGGCAGCAGUGGGGAAUAUUGGACAAUGGGCGAAAGCCUGAUCCAGCCAUGCCGCGUGUGUGAAGAAGGUCUUCGGAUUGUAAAGCACUUUAAGUUGGGAGGAAGGGCAUUAACCUAAUACGUUAGUGUUUUGACGUUACCGACAAAAUAAGCACCGGCUAACUUCGUGCCAGCAGCCGCGGUAAUACGAAGGGUGCAAGCGUUAAUCGGAAUUACUGGGCGUAAAGCGCGCGUAGGUGGUUUGUUAAGUUGAAUGUGAAAGCCCCGGGCUCAACCUGGGAACUGCAUCCAAAACUGGCAAGCUAGAGUAUGGCAGAGGGUGGUGGAAUUUCCUGUGUAGCGGUGAAAUGCGUAGAUAUAGGAAGGAACACCAGUGGCGAAGGCGACCACCUGGGCUAAUACUGACACUGAGGUGCGAAAGCGUGGGGAGCAAACAGGAUUAGAUACCCUGGUAGUCCACGCCGUAAACGAUGAGAACUAGCCGUUGGACACCUUAGAGUGUUUAGUGGCGCAGCUAACGCGAUAAGUUCUCCGCCUGGGGAGUACGGCCGCAAGGUUAAAACUCAAAUGAAUUGACGGGGGCCCGCACAAGCGGUGGAGCAUGUUGGUUUAAUUCGAAGCA
rnacentral:rRNA from 1 species